AGCCCUGGGGGUGGGAGGUGGGGAGGGGUGUCUGCCAGAAGGCACUUCUCCGCUUGCUUUUGUGGUGAAUGAGGUGGACGGCAGCCCAAUCCUGGAGCUCAGCACCCGAAGCUUACCUCCGGUGGCGAUUAAGUGCCAGGCUGGGUUCUUCCCACUUCUCCUCCUAAUGACAGGAGCCCGAAGGACUCCCGAGGGCUUUGGACUGACUAGUGGAGAGUCCUGAAUGUAUUCCAGAAACUGAAGAAACUCUCUUCUCAACUGACAGUGGUGAUGGUGCUGGAGAGUGAAGGGAGCAGGCCAACAGUGCGGCCAUACCAGCCCCCAGGAACCAACCUGCUCUUCCUACACCCCUUAGCUAUCUCCCUCUCCCAUCAGCCGCAUGUUUCACUGGGGCAGAUAGGGAGGUGGAGGAUGCGGGGGUAGCCCGAUCACACUCUUGGGAGGGGCCCUUGUUGAUCCGGAGCCCCUUCUCCCAACCAGAGAGCCACCAGGACUCCCUUGCUUCCUCUGUGCCUAAGGGAGAGGAGAGAGGAGGACGGAUGGCUGCCAGUGGCCCGCAGAAUAUAACACAGGAAGGUGCCCCAGGUGGCCGAAAGGGGCUCGUCACCGUUGUUGUUGUCGUUGCCUGCUGGCUGCUCGGCCUCCUGGGGGAACAGGUGCUCGUGCUUGCCAAUCAUCAUGGACAUCAACUGCUGCACCACCACGGUCCCUGAAACGGACAUGGCAAGCAGACGCGACAUGAGUGGCCGGAAUCCCGGCCUGGGCCGAGGAACGGCGGCGAUCGGUGAUCGCGAUGGAUUUGGGCAAUACUAUUUCCAUCGCUCUAAAUCUCAAGGUUUGGCAGGCCAGUGGGUUCUGAUCCGGGCUCCGCCCCUAGUUAGACGGGAGACCUGGGGCAGUUUGCUUCGCUUCUCUAAGCCUCGGUUUCCUCAGAUGAACAAUAGAUAUUAAAUACCUGUUCUCCCUU